rnacentral:rRNA from 1 species
GCACAAGCGGUGGAGUAUGUGGUUUAAUUCGAUGCAACGCGAAGAACCUUACCUGGUCUUGACAUCCCGGAGACCCUUAGGAAACUAGGGGGUGCUUCCAUCUGGAAGAAUCUGGAGACAGGUGCUGCAUGGCUGUCGUCAGCUCGUGUCGUGAGAUGUUGGGUUAAGUCCCGCAACGAGCGCAACCCUUGCCUUUAGUUGCCAGCAGUUCGGCUGGGCACUCUAAAGGGACUGCCGGUGUUAAACCGGAGGAAGGUGGGGAUGACGUCAAGUCCUCAUGGCCUUUAUGACCAGGGCUACACACGUACUACAAUGGCCGAUACAAAGGGCAGCGACACUGCGAGGUGAAGCCAAUCCCGUAAAAUCGGUCUCAGUCCGGAUUGGAGUCUGCAACUCGACUGCAUGAAGUUGGAAUCGCUAGUAAUCGUGGAUCAGCCAAGCCGCGGUGAAUACGUUCCCGGGCCUU